CUGCAGCUCCCUGGGCACCCUCUUCCCACAGUGUGGAAGGUGGAGGCUCCCAGGGCACAAGCAGAACACGUGCCGCCCUAAGGCCAAGGCGGAGCUGGCUGCUGUCGCUUCUGCCCACAUUCCAUGGGUGCUGUCGAGCUGUAGGUCCAAGCCCCACAUCAGGGGAGUGAGUGGGGUACAAUCCUCCCAUGCUGGGCCCCACUCUGGAGAUAGGCCUGGGGAAUGCCCAAGAAGGAAGCCCAGCCCUUCUGGGAUUUUCACAUCCACAGAGAAUGGGUGCUGGCAGCCAACGGCAACGAGGAGAAAAGCUGACCGCCUUCUCAGAUCAGGAUGAGGUGUUUUUACACCAACCCCGAGGAUCUGCAGCCUUCUCAGGUUAAAUUAAACCUGUCACAGACACAGGAAGGGAAAAGAGCACAUAACAACAAUUAUAUUGACAUCUAAGCCAGGUCACAUGCUCUGAUUUGGCUGAAAUUACAGGAUAAAGGAAAAAUCCUAUAGGCACCAUGGCUGGAAACAAAUGGCCUCAAAGGAACGCUGGUGGCCGUGGCUUUGUGCAACGACAGCCAGUGUUGUGUGACCCAGCGACGUGCAGGCCAGGGAGGGUACCCUUCUACUGAUCAAGAGGGAAAGCGGGAAGGACGCACAGCUGUGGUUUCCAACCUGCACGGAGGCACCCCCAUGAACUCACAGAGCACCAUCAGAUCCUUCUGAAUUUUGAAGGAAGCAAUGAUACUCUGCUCUGCUCAAGGCCAUUCAUGGUCUCAACAUUAACGUUACCUUGCUUUAUAGGGUAUCUUCCCUCUCUCUGCCAGGCUGGGUUGUGGCAGUCACUGAACAAGCAAUUACUGUGAAGGUCGACGUGGAAAAAUGAGGCAAUGAGGGUGGCGGUGUUCUACCAGAUUCCAAGUUGAAGAGGUGCUCGACAGGCACACACAUCCCAUGACUAAACAAAUAACAUGAACAUUUCUCUUUAUGUAUUACUUUUCUAGACAUCCACUAUAAGUUGCCAGGACACAAAUGCUUAUUAUUGGGGUUUACUUAUUUAAUAAAUGGAACUGUGGGGGA
ensembl:lncRNA novel transcript, sense overlapping TRAP1